AGAAAAGUAAGCUAAAUUAAGCUAAUGGGUUCAUACCCCAUUUAUGGAUAUUAUUCCCUUCUCUA
rnacentral:tRNA from 1 species